AACCCCUGCUGCUACUGGUGCACGAGUCAUUGGAAACUUGAAAACUUGAGUGCAGAAGAGAAAAGUGGAAUUCCAUGUGUAGCUGUGAAAUGUGCAGAGAUAUGGAGGAACACCAGUGGCGAAGGCGACUUUCUGCUCCGUAACUGACGCUGAUGUGCGAAAGCGUGGGGAUCAAACAGGACUAGAUACCCUGGUAGUCCUCCAUAUAUAUGAUGAGUGCUAAGUGUUACAGGGGUUUCCGCCCCUUAGUGCUGCAGCUAAAGUAUUAAGCACUUUCGCCUGGGGAGUACGGCCGCAAGGUGGAAAUUCAAAGGAAACGUCGGGGACCCGCACAAGCGGUGGAGCAUGUAGUAUAUUUGGAAGCAGCGCGCAGCACCUUGUCAAAUCUUGACAUCCUUUGACAACUCUAGAGAUAGAGCCUUCUUCUUCGGGGGACAAAGUGACAGGUGGUGCAUGGUUGUUGUCAUCUCUUAUUAUGAGAAGUUGGGGUAAGAAGUCCAUCAACGGCCACCCCCCAUUAUUUUUGUCGCCAUCAAUAAGUUGGGCUAUAUUAGUUGCCCGGGGGUGACAAACCGGAGGAAGGGGGGGAUGAGGUCAAAUGUUCAUGCCCCUUAUGAUUCGGGCUACACACGUGCUACAAUGGGCAAGGCAUUGGAAAGCGACACCGCGAGGUCAAGCAAAUCCCAUAAACUUGUUCUCAGUUCGGAUUGUAGUCUGCAACUCGACUCCAUGAAGCUGGAAUCGCUAGUAAUCGUAGAUCAGCAUGCUACGGUGAAUACGUUCCCGGGUCUUGUACACACCGCCCGUCACACCACGAGAGUUUGUAACACCCGAAGCCGGUGGAGUAACCUUGUAGGAACUAGCCGUCGAAGGUGGGA
rnacentral:rRNA from 1 species